UACGAGGGGGGCGAGCGUUGUUCGGAAUUAUUGGGCGUAAAGGGCGCGUAGGCGGUUGGACAAGUCUUGUGUGAAAUCUUCGGGCUCAACUCGAAGUCUGCACGAGAAACUAUCUGGCUUGAGUGUGGGAGAGGUGAGUGGAAUUCCUGGUGUAGCGGUGAAAUGCGUAGAUAUCGAGAGGAACACCAGUGGCGAAGGCGAGUCCCUGGACAGGUCCUGACGCUGAGGCACGAAAGCUAGGGGAGCAAACAGG
rnacentral:rRNA from 1 species